UACGUAGGUGACAAGCGUUGUCCGGAUUUAUUGGGCGUAAAGAGCGUGUAGGCGGCCAUACAGGUCCGUUGUGAAAACUCGAGGCUCAACCUCGAGACGUCGGUUGAAACCGUAAGGCUAGAGUCCGGAAGAGGAGAGUGGAAUUCCCGGUGUAGCGGUGAAAUGCGCAGAUAUCGGGAAGAACACCCGUGGCGAAGGCGGCUCUCUGGGACGGUACUGACGCUGAGACGCGAAAGCGUGGGGAGCGAACAGG
rnacentral:rRNA from 1 species